UCAUCGUAGGGUUAGUCGGGACCUAAGUCGAGUCCGAAAGGGGUAGACGAUGGCAAAUCGGUUAAUAUUCCGAUACCAAAUAUAGAGCGUGAUGGAAGGACGCUUAGAGUUAAACGAGGCAACUGAUGGAAUAGUUGUUCGAAGGGUGUAGAUUGAGAUAUAGGCAAAUCCGUAUCUCUUUAUUCGAGACCUGACAGGCACAUAAAGCUCUUCGGAGGUGCAUGUGAAUCGUUGAUACUGUCGAGCCUAGAAAAGUUUCUAAGCAUAUCUAUAUUUGCCCGUACCGUAAACCGACACAGGUGGGUGAGAUGAGUAUUCUAAGGCGCGUGGAUGAACUCUGGUUAAGGAACUCUGCAAACUAGCACCGUAUCUUCGGUAUAAGGUGUGCCUACUAAAGUGAUGAGAUUUACUCUCUGAGCUUAUGAGGUUACAACAAAGAGUCCCUCCCGA
rnacentral:rRNA from 1 species